rnacentral:rRNA from 1 species
GACGAACGCUGGCGGCGUGCUUAACACAUGCAAGUCGAACGGAAAGGCCCUGCUUUUGUGGGGUGCUCGAGUGGCGAACGGGUGAGUAACACGUGAGUAACCUGCCCUUGACUUUGGGAUAACUUCAGGAAACUGGGGCUAAUACCGGAUAGGAGCUCCUGCUGCAUGGUGGGGGUUGGAAAGUUUCGGCGGUUGGGGAUACUCGCGGCUUAUCAGCUUGUUGGUGGGGUAGUGGCUUACCAAGGCUUUGACGGGUAGCCGGCCUGAGAGGGUGACCGGCCACAUUGGGACUGAGAUACGGCCCAGACUCCUACGGGAGGCAGCAGUGGGGAAUAUUGCACAAUGGGCGGAAGCCUGAUGCAGCAACGCCGCGUGCGGGAUGACGGCCUUCGGGUUGUAAACCGCUUUCGCCUGUGACGAAGCGUGAGUGACGGUAAUGGGUAAAGAAGCACCGGCUAACUACGUG